rnacentral:rRNA from 1 species
AUUGAACGCUGGCGGCAGGCCUAACACAUGCAAGUCGAACGAGUGGCGGACGGGUGCGUAAUGACUGGGAAACUGCCUGAUGGAGGGGGAUAAAUACUGGAAACGGUAGCUAAUACCGCAUCCCAUCGGAUGUGCCCAGAUGGGAGUAGCUAGUAGGGGGGGUAAAGGUUCACCUAGGCGACGAUCCAUAGCUGGUCUGAGAGGAUGACCAGCCACACUGGAACUGAGACACGGGCCAGACUCCUACGGGAGGCAGCAGUGGGGAAUAUUGCACAAUGGGCGCAAGCCUGAUGCAGCCAUGCCGCGUGGAUGAAGAAGGCCUUCGGGUUGUAAAGUACUUUCAGCGGGGAGGCGUUACCCGCAGAAUAAGCACCGGCUAACUCCGUGCCAGCAGCCGCGGUAAUUC